AAAAAACGCUGUAUUAGUAGGUGUCAUUCAUGUGUUAUGGAUCGAGCCAAAAAAAAUCAUGUGACUGAAACUGAAGACUUUGGCGAAAUGACAAACGUAACUUCAGUGCACGAUUAUUCCAGAUAUGAAAUUCAGAGAAAGAUACGAGGCGGCUGUAUUGUCGAAGAUGAGCCAAAUGACAGAAGCAUUAAUCUCUGGUCAGAAGAUGGUCCAUUUUAUGAAAAGCUCAAGGAAGUAAAAUCUCAUGAUAAUUCUGCGUUUUUCUUGGACUUGUUUUGGAAACAUCAAAAAACACAAAUGGAAUUGAUAAGUUUAAGUUCAAUUCAAAAGCAUGCUUUUCCUCUGAAACGAAUAAGGAAAAUUAUAAAAUCAGAUGAAGAUGUCAGAAAAGCAAAGCAACGUGUUGCAGCAGAGGUCGUUGAUUUAUUAGCAAAAGCUUGCGAAAUGUUUGUGAGUGAGCUUACGCUAUUGGCUUGGUUUGUGAUUGGGCACCGCACCCUACGAAAAGAUGAUAUUGCUAAGGCAAUUUCAAAUUCUGUAACACAUGACUUUCUUGUAGACAUAGUCUCCACCGAAAGAAAAAAAUGAUUAUAAAUUUAAGCCCUAUGAUCACGGAUUUUCCGGCACUAUACGGAAAUGGGAAUCCCUCUGAAUCCAAGACAUUGAAAAAUGCAGACAAUAUCAUAGAGAAUAAUAUGCGAGAACUAAGAGGUGAUACAAGAUAUAUGUCAUUUUUUGCGAGUUACAGCAAAAAGUUUAACUGAUUAUCAAAACCGUCGAAACGGAUUUCGAUGGAUUUAUUUCAACUCUUCUCUUCUCUAACACAGGCAUCUUAUCAUAGCCUUUAAAACAUUAAAUCAUGGUAUACAGGAACAUAAUAAAUCGUUUCACUUUCCGUGAAAAUAGAGAAUGAAAAGCACAAGCGGGUUUCAAAUUGGUAAUGAAAAAUAAGCACAAUCAACAAAAUGUUAAAAGUCUCACCGCUGUUUUAACAGCUUUUAAAUAUGCAAUUUUUGUAACUACAAUAGUAUUACUAUUUAGCCUUAGAUAAUACUAUAAGUAAA